ACAUGGUAUAUCGUAUACGGUGAUUCUCUGCAGGCAUAAUGGAAGCGCUUAAAAACUGUUGAGAAUUUGCUUGCUAAUGUUUACUUUAUUACAGUGUAAUACAAUUUAAAUUUGGUACAAUAUAUUAAUGUACAUUUACACCAAGCGCUGUAAAGGAAAAGGAAGAGCAUCCUGAAAGACCCCAGCCAUCCUGCACUACCACUUUCCUGCCAUCAGGCAAGAGACUCAGGACAAUUCACACAUGCACCACAUGAUUCAGGAACAGUUUCUAACCCAAUGCCAUCAGGCUAUUCAACACAUAGUGUGCACUGUCACUUAAACUAUGCACACUCACUUUUUUAUGCAACUUAGAUAUACCCUUCUGUGAUUUAUUUAUUGUUGCUGCACUUUGUGUUCUAUGUCUUCUAUGUAUCAUGUUCUACGUUCUGUCUACGUGGGAGGGGUUUUCAAGUAAGAAUUUUUUUUUGUUCUUUACUCUGUACUUUGUACAUAUGACAGUAAACUUCAACCUCAACCUCAAACCUAAUGUUGAUGUCCUGUGUUUCUUGUUGGCUGGAACAGGUCACCAGCCAGGAGAGAGACAUCCGCGCCGGAGAGAGAAUACAGGAAGCAGCGAGAGGAUGAUGAGCCUCAGCUUGUGGAGAAACUACAGCAGCAGAUGCUGGAUCAGGAAGAGAAAGCAACUGCUAUGAUGACAUUAGGAAAUGAGGAUCUUCUUCAUUAUCUGGAAACGACUCUCUUGCUGCUCAUUUUUCUGUUCCAGCAACAAUCUAGGGAUAAACUAUGCCAUGUAGAUCACCAUCCCUCAUGCCUCACGCCAUCUUUGCAUUGUGGUCUCUCCAUAUCAGCUAUGGCUCAUGUUUUUCUUGGGUCAGGACUCAGUCCUUCCUCAGACACCACAUCUCCUAU
ensembl:lncRNA